rnacentral:rRNA from 1 species
UGGGGAAUAUUGCACAAUGGGCGCAAGCCUGAUGCAGCCAUGCCGCGUGUAUGAAGAAGGCCUUCGGGUUGUAAAGUACUUUCAGUCGGGAGGAAGGUGGUAAGGUUAAUAACCUUAUCAAUUGACGUUACCGACAGAAGAAGCACCGGCUAACUCCGUGCCAGCAGCCGCGGUAAUACGGAGGGUGCAAGCGUUAAUCGGAAUUACUGGGCGUAAAGCGCACGCAGGCGGUUGAUUGAGUCAGAUGUGAAAUCCCCGGGCUUAACCCGGGAAUUGCAUCUGAUACUGGUCAGCUAGAGUCUUGUAGAGGGGGGUAGAAUUCCGUGUGUAGCGGUGAAAUGCGUAGAGAUGUGGAGGAAUACCGGUGGCGAAGGCGGCCCCCUGGACAAAGACUGACGCUCAGGUGCGAAAGCGUGGGGAGCAAACAGG